AUCACGUUUAAACACCAGUCCUCGUCUGAUCACCGGAGUUAAGCAACUUCGAGCCAGGUCAGUACCUAGAUGUAUGACCGCUUGGGAGGAUC